CCUACGGGUGGCUGCAGUGGGGAAUAUUGGACAAUGGGCGAAAGCCUGAUCCAGCCACGCCGCGUGAGUGAUGAAGGCCUUCGGGUCGUAAAGCUCUGUGGGGAGGGACGAAAGCUUCGGAGUUAAUACCUCCGGAGUUUGACGGUACCUCCUUAGCAAGCACCGGCUAACCCUGUGCCAGCAGCCGCGGUAAUACAGGGGGUGCAAACGUUGCUCGGAAUCAUUGGGCGUAAAGCGCACGUAGGUGGUCGGUUAAGUCGGAUGUGAAAGCCCUG
rnacentral:rRNA from 1 species